rnacentral:rRNA from 1 species
ACGGAAGGCAGCAGUGGGGAAUAUUGCACAAUGGGGGAAACCCUGAUGCAGCGACGCCGCGUGAGUGAUUGAAGUAUUUCGGUAUGUAAAGCUCUAUCAGCAGGGAAGAAAAUGACGGUACCUGACUAAGAAGCCCCGGCUAACUACGUGCCAGCAGCCGCGGUAAUACGUAGGGGGCAAGCGUUAUCCGGAUUUACUGGGUGUAAAGGGAGCGUAGGUGGUAUGGUAAGUCAGAAGUGAAAACCCAGGGCUUAACUUUGGGAUUGCUUUUGAAACUAUCAAACUAGAGUGCAGGAGGGGUAAGCGGAAUUCCUAGUGUAGCGGUGAAAUGCGUAGAUAUUAGGAAGAACACCAGAGGCGAAGGCGGCUUACUGGACUGUAACUGACACUGAGGCUCGAAAGCGUGGGGAGCAAACAGGAUUAGAUACCCUGGUA